rnacentral:rRNA from 1 species
AGAGUUUGAUCAUGGCUCAGAUUGAACGCUGGCGGCAGGCCUAACACAUGCAAGUCGAGCGGUAACAGAAAUUAGCUUGCUAAUUUGCUGACGAGCGGCGGACGGGUGAGUAAUGCCUGGGAAUAUGCCUUAGUGUGGGGGAUAACUAUUGGAAACGAUAGCUAAUACCGCAUAACGUCUUCGGACCAAAGAGGGGGAUCUUCGGACCUCUCGCGCUAAGAUUAGCCCAGGUGAGAUUAGCUAGUUGGUGAGGUAAGAGCUCACCAAGGCGACGAUCUCUAGCUGGUCUGAGAGGAUGAUCAGCCACACUGGAACUGAGACACGGUCCAGACUCCUACGGGAGGCAGCAGUGGGGAAUAUUGCACAAUGGGCGAAAGCCUGAUGCAGCCAUGUCGCGUGUAUGAAGAAGGCCUUCGGGUUGUAAAGUACUUUCAGUAGGGAGGAAGGUGUUGUCGUUAAUAGCGGCAGCAUUUGACGUUACCUACAGAAGAAGCACCGGCUAACUCCGUGCCAGCAGCCGCGGUAAU